rnacentral:piRNA from 1 species
GAAUGAGUCUCGAGACUUGCUUGUG